UUCCCAGGCCUGCUGCUUGGUGCCAGUCUGGGGACAGAGGAAAUCCAGACGGGUUGUUUCCAUCUGUCCUGAGGUGUGUCUCUACAACUCUGCCACACUU
rfam:Mus musculus chromosome 2, GRC primary reference assembly.